UAAGAGUCAGUGCUGAGCUUCUUGCAGGCUGGUGCUUUUUAUGAGCUGUUAUCAAUGGGACCACUCAAGGACAUAUAUUCCCAGUGUCUUUAAUGUUGCACGGAAGUCCUUCAAGGAACAGGGUCCUUAUUAGCUGUUUUUGAAGAGGAUCCCAUAUCUGAGGCAACUGCAGAUGGGUGGACACUGCAUGUAAAAUGGCCACAUGGGUCUUAAGACUCUGCUUCCCCUGGGCAGAAAACAUUUG